GCCCCGGUAAACGGCGGCCGUAACUAUAACGGUCCUAAGGUAGCGAAAUUCCUUGUCGGGUAAGUUCCGACCUGCACGAAUGGCGUAAUGAUGGCCAGGCUGUCUCCACCCGAGACUCAGUGAAAUUGAACUCGCUGUGAAGAUGCAGUGUACCCGCGGCAAGACGGAAAGACCCCGUGAACCUUUACUAUAGCUUGACACUGAACAUUGAGCCUUGAUGUGUAGGAUAGGUGGGAGGCUUUGAAGUGUGGACGCCAGUCUGCAUGGAGCCGACCUUGAAAUACCACCCUUUAAUGUUUGAUGUUCUAACGUUGGCCCGUAAUCCGGGUUGCGGACAGUGUCUGGUGGGUAGUUUGACUGGGGCGGUCUCCUCCUAAAGAGUAACGGAGGAGCACGAAGGUUGGCUAAUCCUGGUCGGACAUCAGGAGGUUAGUGCAAUGGCAUAAGCCAGCUUGACUGCGAGCGUGACGGCGCGAGCAGGUGCGAAAGCAGGUCAUAGUGAUCCGGUGGUUCUGAAUGGAAGGGCCAUCGCUCAACGGAUAAAAGGUACUCCGGGGAUAACAGGCUGAUACCGCCCAAGAGUUCAUAUCGACGGCGGUGUUUGGCACCUCGAUGUCGGCUCAUCACAUCCUGGGGCUGAAGUAGGUCCCAAGGGUAU
rnacentral:rRNA from 1 species